rnacentral:rRNA from 1 species
UGGGGAAUUUUGGACAAUGGGCGAAAGCCUGAUCCAGCCAUGCCGCGUGAGUGAAGAAGGCCUUCGGGUUGUAAAGCUCUUUUAGUCGGAAAGAAAAGAUCAUAAUGAACAAUUAUGAUUCAUGACGGUACCGACAGAAAAAGCACCGGCUAACUACGUGCCAGCAGCCGCGGUAAUACGUAGGGUGCGAGCGUUAAUCGGAAUUACUGGGCGUAAAGGGUGCGCAGGCGGUUUUGUAAGUCAGAUGUGAAAUCCCCGGGCUUAACCUGGGAAUUGCGUUUGAAACUGCAAGACUAGAGUGCAGCAGAGGGGAGUGGAAUUCCGAUGUGUAGCAGUGAAAUGCGUAGAGAUGUGGAAGAACACCGAUGGCGAAGGCAGCUCCCUGGGUUGACACUGACGCUC